GGGGAUUUAGCUCCGUGGUAGAGCGUUUGCCUAGAAAGCAAAAGGCCCAGGGUUUGGUCCCCA
rnacentral:tRNA from 1 species